rnacentral:lncRNA from 1 species
GCUUCUCUCCACCCACUCCUCACCAAGAACUCCUGAACUUGAGAGUGGACGACUUCAAAGCUAGCUCUCACAGACUCACCUGGAAAAGAGUUCAGCUGCGCGUUCAUUGAACCGAGAGGCCAGAUCACCUAUGUGAGGCGGUGGGAACCAUAUGGAGAUUUAUAUUAGAACUUCAGCAAAGUGCACAGCUGCAGCCGGCAGAAGCCAGCUCUCGGGCUGACAGGCAAAUGAACCAGAUCGUGGACGGGGCCUCUGGGUGGCAGCUCCGGCCUUUUGGUUGUUGGACAACUAUAGUCAGAACUGAAAUGGAACAGGGGCAGGAGAAAUAACACACUUUUACUCCACGCAACUGUUGCUUUCACAUGAUCUUCAGGAAUGUAACUGGGAUAAUUGUCCAAAUUGAAUCCCAUACCCUGUCAUGGUACUGAUUAUUAAGGUGACUAUAUGAAAGGAUCACUCCAAAAUAACACAUACCAGAAUAGGAGUCCUGUCUUAACUGAGCAAUAUACACUAUGGAGAGAUCCUUCAAAACCCGUCGGGACGAAUAACAGAUGAAUUCAUAAAACUGUUCAUCUCUGUUAUCCUGAAUGGUCACUCAGACAACAUUUUACUCAACUAUAAAGGGAGAAGCAUAUUGUGUGAUGUUCUAUAUUUAUGAGACCCAUAGCAAACUGUGAAGAGAUAACAGAAUGCUUUUUGCGUGAGCUGAAACAGUAGAUGAAAUCUUUCAUUAAAAUUACUCAUACUUUGGGUCCUAUUCUUAUUUAUAAAUAAAUAUUAUUGCAAA